GUAGGAAAUUUGAGAGGAGCUGUCCUUAGUACGAGAGGACCGGGAUGGACAUACCUCUGGUGUACCAGUUGUCGUGCCAACGGCAUAGCUGGGUAGCUAUGUGUGGACGGGAUAAGUGCUGAAAGCAUCUAAGCAUGAAGCCCCCCUCAAGAUGAGAUUUCCCAACUUCGGUUAUAAGAUCCCUCAAAGAUGAUGAGGUUAAUAGGUUCGAGGUGGAAGCAUGGUGACAUGUGGAGCUGACGAAUACUAAUCGAUCGAAGACUUAAUCAAAUU
rnacentral:rRNA from 1 species